rnacentral:rRNA from 1 species
AGUGAACGCUGGCGGUAGGCCUAACACAUGCAAGUCGAACGGCAGCACAGGAGAGCUUGCUCUCUGGGUGGCGAGUGGCGGACGGGUGAGGAAUACAUCGGAAUCUACUCUGUCGUGGGGGAUAACGUAGGGAAACUUACGCUAAUACCGCAUACGACCUACGGGUGAAAGCAGGGGACCUUCGGGCCUUGCGCGAUUGAAUGAGCCGAUGUCGGAUUAGCUAGUUGGCGGGGCAAAGGCCCACCAGGGCGACGAUCCGUAGCUGGUCUGAGAGGAGGAUCAGCCACACUGGAACUGAGACACGGUCCAGACUCCUACGGGAGGCAGCAGGGGGGAAUAUUGGACAAUGGGCGCAAGCCUGAUCCAGCCAUACCGCGUGGGUGAAGAAGGCCUUCGGGUUGUAAAGCCCUUUUGUUGGGAAAGAAAUCCAGCUGGCUAAUACCCGGUUGGGAUGACGGUACCCAAAGAAUAAGCACCGGCUAACUUCGUGCCAGCAGCCGCCGUAA